rnacentral:rRNA from 1 species
AUUGAACGCUGGCGGCAUGCUUUACACAUGCAAGUCGAACGGUAACAGGCCGCAAGGUGCUGACGAGUGGCGAACGGGUGAGUAAUGCAUCGGAACGUGCCCAGUCGUGGGGGAUAACUGCUCGAGAGAGCAGCUAAUACCGCAUACGAUCUAUGGAUGAAAGCGGGGGACCGUAAGGCCUCGCGCGAUUGGAGCGGCCGAUGUCAGAUUAGGUAGUUGGUGGGGUAAAGGCUCACCAAGCCAACGAUCUGUAGCUGGUCUGAGAGGACGACCAGCGGCACUGGGGCAGAGACACGGCCCAGACUCCUACGGGAGGCAGCAGUGGGGAAUUUUGGACAAUGGGGGCAACCCUGAUCCAGCAAUGCCGCGUGCAGGAAGAAGGCCUUCGGGUUGUAAACUGCUUUUGUACGGAACGAAACGGUCUGGGUUAAUACCCUGGGCUAAUGACGGUACCGUAAGAAUAAGCACCGGCUAACUACGUGCCAGCCGCCGCAGUAAAAC